UACAGCAACAACUGUUGCCGCCUACGUCGCAUCUCUCUGUGCGCACGUGUGAGAGUGUGCAUGUGGUCGGUGCCGACGUGUUGCCCUCCCAAACCCUGGCCGCUGCCGCUGCUGCUGCUGUUUUGUGGGUAGGCUAAGGAAAAUGGAACUCAUGGCCACAAUGGCCCUAGAUCGCGACGCGAUCAACACCGUCACGCUUCGCCUGCUACCACCGUCGGCCGCUCCCGGGGCAGCUGUGUCGUCGUGGCUGCUGUGGCACACAAUCCCGAUCACCGCCAGCCUAUCUCGCACGCUGAGUCGGCUCGUGUCGAUCGAGGCGUCUGCGAUGACGCACAUGCCGCUGGACGACACCGCAGACGCUGCGGCGAUGUGCCACUCAGCACACCGCUCGCACGAUCGAAAGGCGCGCUCGCCCUCCGCGGCCUCGGCGUCUUCGUCAUCGUCGUCGGCCUCGGCGUCAUCGGCUCUCUCAACGAGGACAAGGCUCACGUGCUCCACCGCGGAAGCCGAGAAGACGAGCUGGAUCGAGCUGGCGCGCGUGGGGUACGUUGUGAGCGAGAUUCACGCCUACUGCAUCCUCUUAAAGUGCCGCCGUGCGGCGCAGGCGGCAAGGUUGAAAGCGGCGUUGGAGGAGGGCGCUGCGCUGGGCUUGACGGCGCCGGUGGAGUACGUGACUGACGCGCGUCCAGUCGUCGUCACGCACUGCGCCUUUGCAGAGCGACGAGGAAGGGCGGAGGCCGUCGGCGCCGAUGGCACGAGUAUCACCGGCCACCACCUACCUCGUGUAAGGGCUCGCUGGUGCACCGGCGACCACAUGGUCUCCCUAUGGGAAGCGAUCGCUACCGUAUACCCCGUUCGCGGCAACGGCGGCAGUGGUGGUGAUGAUGGCGACGGCGACAGUGCCUCGGAUGGCGACGGCGAGCAUCACGACACUCGCGGGUCGCUACAGCGGCAUCAUCAGUAUCACCAUCAUCCAUACCAUCUGCAGAGCAGCCCGCACACCGCGUCCUCUGCUCCUGUUACGCCUUCUCCAGCGCGGCAGUCGCCUGCUGCAUCUUCCGCGAUGCGUAAGGGCGCCGCACCGCCACCGUCGCGGCACGCCUCCGCGGUCACCGUCGCCGCGGCAGCGUCUACACCGAAGCACACCCCGUUGUCUUCGGCGAAGGCAGCGGGACGAGCGUCGCCGAGUCGCCCCCCACACACGCCGCCUCAUCUCCCCCUCACCGGCCGCGGUGGCCGUGGCGGCGUCGACCUUGGCCCGCUGCUGAGUGGCGACUUCUGCACCAUCUGCCUGGACCCGCUUUACCUCAGCGCCUGCGUCACAACGCUCUGCCAGCACUCCUUCCAUUUAAGCUGCUACGCGCAGCUUCCGUCCGGGUCGGCCGAGUGCCCGCUCUGCCGCUUCUCCGUGUACGACCUGCUCAACGAUGCGCGCUGCAAGGUGUGCGGCACGUACGAGGACCUUUGGGUAUGCCUAAUCUGCGGCCACGUCGCGUGCGGCCGGGCGCGGCGCGAUCAUCAGCAGGAGCACUAUCAUGCGUCGGGACACUCCUGCUCGUGGCAGAGCACCACGAAUCGCAUGAGAAACUUGAGCUCCCGCAUGUUUCUCCACCAGGAGGUGGCGCUGCUGCUCGAAGAGGACGGUGUCGACGAUGCGGCGACGGCGGACAGUCCGCACAGCGUCGGUUCCGCUACGCGGCUCCGCAGCGCCGAGGCCGGGACGUCGUCAGAGGAAGCAGCGACAACCGCGAUGGGUGGGACACUGUCGCCCUCUGACGCGGAUCGCGUGCGGUACAUGUCGUGGAGCGACUCACUGGUUGACCACGACCUCCAGGAGGCACUGAACGAGAGCAAAGAAGAGGCGGUGGCGCAGUACUACACACAGUUCCUGCGUCAGCUCGCAGAGGAGCAGCAGCGGUGGUACGAGGCGAGGCUGGCGGAGCGACGCCGCUGCCGGCGCGAGAGGCAGAUGGCGACAGUCGCCAUGGCUGGUGGGCGUCGCGCAGAAAGCGCGUCGUCGUCCGCAGCGGGUUGGUUGUCAAACGUCGCACCAUCGGCGCACACCGCUCUGCACCGCAUUGCCGUGGACGAGCGGCGGCUGCGACGUCGCGUGCUCUCCGAGUACGUGCAGGCGACCAUCAGCCUCCUUCAGGCGGCCCAGCGCGAGUAUGCCGGCAUGACUCACACGCUCAGGGCCGCCCGCGAUGAUGCACAGCAGCAGGUGCUUCUCCGGUCGCACUUCAACUCCGGGCUUAUGGCACAGGUGGAGCGAGUACGCCAGCGCACACGAGAGUUGCAGCGCAAAGGCGAAACGGCCGCACAGCAGAAGGCGGCUGAGGAGGCGGAGCUGCAGCGUCUCGUUGAUGAGGCGUUGUCGUCGCUGUGACGGGCCACGCCGUGUAUCCGGCGCCGCCAGCACCCCCCCCCACACACACACACCUUCGUUCACAGCCCCCGAGGGCCAUUCGCCAUGCCGUCUCCUUGUCGUUCUGAUCUCCUCCGUGGUGCGUUGUCCGUGUGUGCACCCGGCGACUCCGUGGGUCGGCACACAUGCACACGCACAUAUCUAUCUGUGUGCGCGCAGGGGCAUCAGAACAAGAUGAUCACGAAGGCGAUGGAAGGCGGUGACAACUUUUCCUCUUGUGCAUACGUAUGACUGCGCGCCUGCACUGCGGCAGGCUCCCUCUCACCCGUCAUGUAAACACUUCGCGCGCGCACAAGCACACGUCCACGGCGGUCAUCUCCGUUGUUUCGCGCAUCUCUCUUGCUGCUUGCCACCGAUGCCGCUGCUUCGUGGCUCCCCCACAGUGAAGCCGCACCUCAUCACUCCCAGCCACACACGUGCAGGUGUGUGUGCGCAACAAGCACAAACACAGGAAGCCGAAGGCGUGCCUUGGGCAUGCUGACGACGCGCUCCCCUCCCCCACCCCACCCCACC
rnacentral:misc_RNA from 1 species